UGCCAGCCGCCGCGGUAAUACGGAGGGUGCAAGCGUUGUUCGGAAUUAUUGGGCGUAAAGCGCGUGUAGGCGGUUCGUUAAGUCUGAUGUGAAAGCCCGGGGCUCAACCCCGGAAGUGCAUUGGAAACUGGCGAACUUGAGUACGGGAGAGGAAAGUGGAAUUCCGAGUGUAGGGGUGAAAUCCGUAGAUAUUCGGAGGAACAUCAGUGGCGAAGGCAGCACUCUGGGCCGGUACUGACGCUGAGGAGCGAAAGCAUGGGUAGCAAACAGGAUUAGAUA
rnacentral:rRNA from 1 species